CUGGCAGUACAUUUUACACAUUUAAAAAGUGAUGGUCUUUCAUACCUAAAACCUUAAUUUUAACUUCUAGUAUCAUUUUCCUCUGGUAUUCAGGGCUCUUUAGAGAAAAGAAUGAUUCCAAGACUAAAGCAGUGAAAGAUUCCUAGGAAAAAAAUGCGACUGGAACAUCUAUUAUACCAGAAAAUAAGGAGCUGCUCAAACAAACCAUGGGGACACAUCCAAACCACGGGCUUGGAAUGAUGCACGCAUCCAAAUAAAUAAGGGCAGUAAUAGGUUACCAUCGAAGAAUAAAUACCGAUGAGUCACAUGUUAUAAAUAAAGCACAAACAGAAGAAAAGGUUCCUUGCCACACAACAAAUAAUGAACUCAGAAGAAAUCAUGGCAUUAAAAGAUCAUCAAUGGGUUAGGAAGACAGGCUUCCAAAGAAACUCAGAGCCAUCCAGUCUUAACCCCAUCUCUGCUCUAGUCCCAACCAUGCCCACCGUGAC
rnacentral:lncRNA from 1 species